rnacentral:rRNA from 1 species
UACAGAGGUCCCAAGCGUUGUUCGGAUUCACUGGGCGUAAAGGGUGCGUAGGUGGUGAGGUAAGUCGGAUGUGAAAUCUCCAGGCUCAACCUGGAAAUGGCAUCGGAAACUACCUCGCUGGAGGUUUGGAGGGGGGACUGGAAUUCUCGGUGUAGCAGUGAAAUGCGUAGAUAUCGAGAGGAACACCAGUGGCGAAGGCGAGUCCCUGGACAACACCUGACACUGAGGCACGAAAGCUAGGGGAGCAAACGGG